rnacentral:rRNA from 1 species
CACGUAGGGCGCAAGCGUUGUCCGGAAUCAUUGGGCGUAAAGAGCGUGUAGGCGGCCACUUAAGUCCUGCGUGAAAUCUUGCGGCUCAACCGCAAGCGGUCGUGGGAAACUGGGUGGCUAGAGUGCGGGGAGAGGAGAGUGGAAUUCCUGGUGUAGCGGUGGAAUGCGCAGAUAUCAGGAAGAACACCCGUGGCGAAGGCGGAUCUCUGGGCCGUAACUGACGCUGAGGAGCGAAAGCAUGGGGGAGCGAACAGG